GGAAAGUUCAGAGUUGGGGUGGCAGCCUUGAAACCCUCUCAAUUCCUCCAUCCUGGGUCCUGGUUCAGGGUGAACAGGCUCUGGCUGCAGCCCUUCUUCCUGAAGGAUCAAAUCUACCAAGAGCAGACCGUGUUACACACCUCACACAAUGCUUAUGCUGCUCUUUGAAGAUCUUUGGUGCUCAUGUUCGCCAGAGUUAACAUUCUGAAAUUCAGUCUUCAGGGAAAACUGCUACUUCCAGAAAAUUCCAAGGACUCUCCUCCUUCACCCACCAGCUCGUCAGGAUUCAGAGCCCCCUACGCCGCAGGGUUGUUCUCUAUGCAAUGUCCCCCAGAACCCAUUGCAAUUAUGAACUCACCGGUGAGCUCGCUGAAGGUUGGAAUAGGUUUCUAAGUAAAAGGUUUGGGUAUAAAGAAAAGCAAAAAUCUUUCUGGUUUGAGAUGGUGUUUUAUAUCAGGUGUUUUACUCCAUCCCGGGAUGGGGUGAAAGAUUUCCCAUUGUUGAUUUUCCCUUGUUGAUUUUCAGGACUUUCUAAAAUAGUUAAGAUAUGAAUACUACAAACAUUUUCUUCUAAUCUGUGACCUGUUUUAUUUUUGAUGUUCUUUGUUGAACCAAGGACUUUAAUUUUGAUGUCACCAAUUCUAUUGAUUUUUUUUGACUUACGGUUUAUACUCUUGGGGAUUUAAGAAAUUUUUUCUCAUCUUGAAAUCACAAAGACUUCUCUUAUUUGGUUAACUGUAUAGCUUUUAUCAUUUACACCUAGAACUAAGGUUACAACACAAUUUCACUUAUAGAUCCCUUUUGUUUUCUAUGCAAUAUUGCUGCCGCAUAUACCAAUUUCUCAGCCCUAGUUUCAUUCUGUCUUAAUAGUCUAAAUACUGAAGGCUCCUUCUGUCUCAGGAGAAGAAUAGUCAGAGACAAGUCAUGCAUGGCCAGGCUUAGAGGCAAUGAACUGUCCCUGUCUUUCAGAGUGAGCUCCUGACCCUUAAAAAUAAACAGCUGGCUUUAAUAACAGUGAUGAAAUCCAAUUAGAACUUUUCCUCUCAUUUGGGACACUGGGAGGACGGCCCACUCUAUUUUCAUAGUAAAGGCACUAAGUAAGACAUGCUUACUAGGUGAAAAAGUUUUGCAGAGAUUAAACAUAAUGGAAAAGAAUAUUUUAAAAUACGUAUGCAUAUAUAUAUAUAUAUAACCAAAUCACAUCGCUG